rnacentral:rRNA from 1 species
GACGAACGUUGGCGGCGUGCUUAAUACAUGCAAGUCAACUGAAGCAGUGGUAGCAAUCUCGCUGUGGAGGUGGCGCACGGGUGAGUAACACGUAGGUAAUCUGCCUUCAGGUCUGGCAUAACUCCGGGAAACCGGGGCUAAUAGCAGAUGAUGCAGCGGCUCGACAUCGAGACAGUUGUUAAAGCUAUGGCGCCUGAAGAUGAGCCUGCGUCUGAUUAGCUAGUUGGCGGGGUAACGGCCCACCAAGGCAACGAUCAGUAGCUGGUCUGAGAGGAUGAUCAGCCACACUGGAACUGAGACACGGUCCAGACUCCUACGGGAGGCAGCAGUAAGGAAUAUUGCUCAAUGGGAGAAAUCCUGAAGCAGCAACGCUGCGUGAGGGACGAAGGGCUUUUGCUUGUAAACCUCUGUAGUGAGAGAAAAAAAUCCCAAUCUUUGGGACAUGAUGGUAUCUCAAAAGUAAGCCCCGGCUAACCACGUG